AUUGAACGCUGGCGGCAUGCCUUACACAUGCAAGUCGAACGGUAACGGGCCUUCGGGUGCCGACGAGUGGCGAACGGGUGAGUAAUACAUCGGAACGUGCCCGAUCGUGGGGGAUAACGAGGCGAAAGCUUUGCUAAUACCGCAUACGAUCUACGGAUGAAAGCCGGGGACCGCAAGGCCUUGCGCGGACGGAGCGGCCGAUGGCAGAUUAGGUAGUUGGUGGGAUAAAAGCUUACCAAGCCGACGAUCUGUAGCUGGUCUGAGAGGAUGAUCAGCCACACUGGGACUGAGACACGGCCCAGACUCCUACGGGAGGCAGCAGUGGGGAAUUUUGGACAAUGGGCGCAAGCCUGAUCCAGCCAUGCCGCGUGCAGGAUGAAGGCCUUCGGGUUGUAAACUGCUUUUGUACGGGACGAAAAGCCUUCUUUUAAUACAGGAGGGUCAUGACGGUACCGUAAGAAUAAGCACCGGCUAACUACGUG
rnacentral:rRNA from 1 species